CCCAUAUCAGACCAAUGAUCCAUCUGUUCCAUGAUCUCCAACAGUGGCCAGCCCUAGAUAUUUCAAAUGAAGGAGAAGACCGUAAGGUAUAUAUGAACAGAAACACCUGACUAUGCUAGAAUUGGAAAAAGCUUAACUGGAUCUACCUCUGUGAGAAUUAAGAAGAUCAUAUUGAGAAAGGCAUUAACCAAACCUUGGCUCCCUUGACAUAAGACAAC